UACGAGGGGGGCAAGCGUUGUUCGGAAUUAUUGGGCGUAAAGGGUGCGUAGGCGGUUUGAUAAGUCACAUGUGAAAUCUUCGGGCUCAACCCGAAGUCUGCAUGCGAAACUGUCGGGCUUGAGUAUGGGAGAGGUGAGUGGAAUUUCCGGUGUAGCGGUGAAAUGCGUAGAUAUCGGAAGGAACACCUGUGGCGAAAGCGGCUCACUGGACCAUUACUGACGCUGAGGCACGAAAGCUAGGGGAGCAAACAGG
rnacentral:rRNA from 1 species